rnacentral:rRNA from 1 species
GACGUAGGGCGCGAGCGUUGUCCGGAUUUAUUGGGCGUAAAGAGCUCGUAGGCGGCUUGUCGCGUCGACUGUGAAAACCCGCGGCUCAACCGCGGGCCUGCAGCCGAUACGGGCAGGCUAGAGUUCGGUAGGGGAGACUGGAAUUCCUGGUGUAGCGGUGAAAUGCGCAGAUAUCAGGAGGAACACCAAUGGCGAAAGCAAGUAUCUGGACUAUUACUGACGCUAAGCUGCGAAAGCUAGGGGAGCAAACAGG